UAAGACAGGAGUACUAUUGGGAUGUAGAGGCUAUAGGCUCCAAGCAGAGUAAACUCUGUAAUUGGUGAUAAGGUCAGAAAACAGACAGCUGUAACCAGAGACACCAAGUAACAACAAACAGGUUCUUGGCCACGCUGCUUCGAAGAACGGAGAGGUGGACCAGACAGAGAGGGGCUGAAUUUCCAAUGAUAGAAGUGGCCAGAGUGACUUGGGGAGUGAUUUAUUCAAGAUAUGGAGUCUCAGUCAGCCUGGGUCCCUGAAUGACUAUGUGAACCAGAGCCGUCACCAACUUGGGAUCUCUGGCCCUGAAUGUUAUUUGAAAAGGAAAGAAGUCUGUUUUUGAAUCACUAAGUUUUAGUGGUUCAAACUUGUUAGUACAGUUUGCCUUACUCUAGCUAACACACACAUUUUAACUGUUUUUCUCAAAUCUAA